GGUCAUACUAUGCUAAAAACAACGAUUCUCGUCCGAUCAACGAAGUUAAGCAUCCCUGGGCGCGGUCAGUACUUGGGAAGGUGAUCACCAGGGAACACUGCGUGCC